UCACCUGGGCAACUAACAGAAACUGACGUGUCCUGGCUGGGAGGGACAGGCAUUUUCUGCUACAGACAUAGAACUUGAUGAAAUGGCAUUCCAGGCCACAGGGCUGCCUGUGGGUUACCCACCCAUGGAUGGAGCAGGACUGCCAUACUGUAGAAGUAACCCAAUUCAGUGCAAUGGCACUUGAAAAACCAGAUUGGCAAGUUUUGGAGGAGGUUAAAAGUGAAUCAUCAGAUUACUCAUGGAUGGAUGAUGAAGAUGAUUUAUUAUGACAGGUGUCCUGGAACUCAGCCAUCAGGUCCUUAUUCUUAUCGUAACAAACUGAAUGAUGCUGUGAACAGAUUUGCUGCUCCCAUCUCCCAAACUAAUUGGAAUAUGACACUCGACAAUUGGUCUAUCAGUUUCCAGUGGAUGUUACUUUGGCUAACAGAGCACAAGUUGAGAAGCACAGGGACUGUAUGCAGGAACAGAGCAGAAAUUCCAAAUGAAACACUGCAAUUUGAAAACAGAAUUCUAUAGUACAAUCUUUGGAUUUCAAA